UGCCUACGGGAGGCUGCAGUGGGGAAUUUUGGACAAUGGGCGAAAGCCUGAUCCAGCCAUUCCGCGUGCAGGAUGAAGGCCCUCGGGUUGUAAACUGCUUUUGUACAGAACGAAAAAGCUCCGGCUAAUACCUGGAGUCCAUGACGGUACUGUAAGAAUAAGCACCGGCUAACUACGUGCCAGCAGCCGCGGUAAUACGUAGGGUGCGAGCGUUAAUCGGAAUUACUGGGCGUAAAGCGUGCGCAGGCGGUGAUGCAAGACAGAUGUGAAAGCCCCGGGCUCAACCUGGGAACUGCAUUUGUGACUGCAUCGCUGGAGUGCGGCAGAGGGGGAUGGAAUUCCGCGUGUAGCAGUGAAAUGCGUAGAUAUGCGGAGGAACACCGAUGGCGAAGGCAAUCCCCUGGGCCUGCACUGACGCUCAUGCACGAAAGCGUGGGGAGCAAACAGGAUUAGAUACCCCGGUAGUCAU
rnacentral:rRNA from 1 species